rnacentral:lncRNA from 1 species
AGGCGAUCCCUUGUUUAUUGUCUGAUUAGUGCUAUCAGAUAGCAUUAGGCCAUCCAGUCAUAGGUUACUACUAUAUCUGGGUUAUUAUGCAGUGACUGGCUAGUUUGAUAGUAUUUGACAACACAUCUAGCCACUGACAAAGAGAGGCGGGACAAUGUGCACUUCCCUCUUCCUGCCACUGGCUCCUCCAUUUCCACUUCCUGUGCAAGUUGAGAGCAUGUCCGAGAGAGGGCAGCCACACACUCUUUGGGUCUCCUCGUCCACCUUCUCAAAAUUUCCUCUUCUACCUAUUGAAAAUGCAAGAAAUAUGAUGCUUAUCAUACAUAUGAGAGUCCUGUCCUAUUCCUUUUCAUAGCUCAAACACUGAGACCCAAAGGACCAACUGACUGCACUUCAUAAGGCAUAAGGUAUUUUAUAGUGACCUGACUCAGUAACUCAAUACCUAUCUACGAUGUGGAACACUCAAUGGGAAACUUAUCUAGAGAGCCACAAAUCAACACAAAGAAACAUUAAAAUAUUGGAACUGGACAGUUCAGAAUUACUAAUGUCCCAUUUUACAUUUCACUGGGACCUGAGUCUUGAUUAUUACUAUCAGGUUUGCCAAUAGUUGCCCCCAGAACCCUCCCUACCCAAAAUACUUACUUGAUUCUGUGGAAUAUUUUGCCUCAUCAAUCCCUAAUCAAAGGGUGAGGUGCUCAAGGAGGGAUGAUGAU